rnacentral:rRNA from 1 species
CCUACGGGGGGCAGCAGUGGGGAAUAUUGGGCAAUGGGCGCAAGCCUGACCCAGCAACGCCGCGUGAAGGAAGAAGGCUCUCGGGUUGUAAACUUCUUUUACCAGGGACGAAGCAGGUGACGGUACCUGAUGAAUAAGCCACGGCUAACUACUUGCCAGCAGCCGCGGCAAUACGUAGGUGGCAAGCGUAAUCCGGAUUUACGGGUUGGAAAGGGCGUGUAGGCGGGAAAGCAAGUCAGAUGUGAAAACCAGGGGCUCAACCUGUGGCCUGCAUUUGAAACUGUUUUUCUUGAGUACUGGAGAGGCAGACGGAAUUCCUAGGGUAGCGGUGAAAUGCGUAGAUAUUAGGAGGAACACCAGUGGCGAAGGCGGUCUGCUGGACAGCAACUGACGCUGAGGCGCGAAAGCGUGGGGAGCAAACAGGAUUAGAUACCCCAGUAGUC